rnacentral:rRNA from 1 species
AUUGAACGCUGGCGGCAUGCCUUACACAUGCAAGUCGAACGGUAACAGGUCUUCGGAUGCUGACGAGUGGCGAACGGGUGAGUAAUACAUCGGAACGUGCCCAGACGUGGGGGAUAACGAGGCGAAAGCUUUGCUAAUACCGCAUACGAUCUAAGGAUGAAAGCAGGGGACCGCAAGGCCUUGUGCGGUUGGAGCGGCCGAUGGCAGAUUAGGUAGUUGGUGGGAUAAAAGCUUACCAAGCCGACGAUCUGUAGCUGGUCUGAGAGGACGACCAGCCACACUGGGACUGAGACACGGCCCAGACUCCUACGGGAGGCAGCAGUGGGGAAUUUUGGACAAUGGGCGAAAGCCUGAUCCAGCAAUGCCGCGUGCAGGAUGAAGGCCUUCGGGUUGUAAACUGCUUUUGUACGGAACGAAAAGGCUCUGGCUAAUACCUGGGGCACAUGACGGUACCGGAAGAAUAAGCACCGGCUAACUACGUG